rnacentral:rRNA from 1 species
CUACGAGGCGCUGCAGUGAGGAAUAUUGCACAAUGGGGGGAACCCUGAUGCAGCAACGCCGCGUGGAGGAUGACGCAUUUCGGUGUGUAAACUCCUUUUAUAUGUCAAGAAAAUGACGGUAGCAUAUGAAUAAGCACCGGCUAACUCCGUGCCAGCAGCCGCGGUAAUACGGAGGGUGCAAGCGUUACUCGGAAUCACUGGGUGUAAAGGACGCGUAGGCGGGUUGGAAAGUCAGGUGUGAAAUCCUACAGCUUAACUGUAGAACUGCACUUGAAACUUCUAAUCUAGAGUAUGGGAGGGGGAGAUGGAAUUAGUGGUGUAGGGGUAAAAUCCGUAGAUAUCACUAGGAAUACCUAAAGCGAAGGCGAUCUCCUGGAACAUUACUGACGCUAAGGCGUGAAAGCGUGGGGAGCAAACAGGAUUAGAUACCCGUGUAGUC